UACGUAGGGUGCGAGCGUUAAUCGGAAUUACUGGGCGUAAAGCGUGCGCAGGCGGUUCGCUAAGACCGAUGUGAAAUCCCCGGGCUUAACCUGGGAACUGCAUUGGUGACUGGCGGGCUAGAGUGUGGCAGAGGGGGGUAGAAUUCCACGUGUAGCAGUGAAAUGCGUAGAGAUGUGGAGGAACACCGAUGGCGAAGGCAGCCCCCUGGGUUAACACUGACGCUCAGGCACGAAAGCGUGGGGAGCAAACAGG
rnacentral:rRNA from 1 species